GUCAAUAGUGAUCGCUAAAAGAAAGGUAGUGUAAAUAGGCCAUGUCUCCUUAGAAUGGCAGCACAAUAUGUAACAGAUGAAACCGGGACUUACAUCCCAGCUACACAGAGGACAGAUGGAUCAUGGCGAAAGGCAAGGAGAGUAAAAGAAGGAUAUAUUCCGCAAGAUGAAGUCCCCCUUUAUGAAAGCAAAGGAAAACAGUGGGCCAAAAGUAAACCAGCCUUUCCUCCAGGUCUUCAUCCUGAAGAAGUAGCUAAGACACAACAAGCUCAAUCAGGUGCAAACCAAAUACCAGGACUGACAGGAACACCAACACCUAAUGUUUCAAAAUCAAGUAAAAAGAAGAAGAAGAAGAAGCAACAGCAAGAGGUUAAAACUAUUGACCAGAAUUUAACAGAAGAUGUUACCAAGCUUCACAUAUGUGAAACUGGUUUGGAUAGGAACAAUGAAUCUAGUGAGAAUAAAACCUGCCAAGAAACAUUCAGUGACCCAGCAAAGAGGAUUAAAAACUUAAAAAAAAAGUUAAGGGAGAUUGUAAAACUUGAGCAAAAAAUAGAGUCAGGUGAAAUUACUAACCCUGAAAAAGAUCAGUUAGAAAAAAUUGCUAGAAAAGGAGAGAUUGAAGCUGAAAUAGAAGAUCUGGAACUAGACCUAGAACUUCAAGACAGUUAACUGACUUAGCCAGUACAACACUGAAUAGAUACCAGAAAAUUGGAGAUAAAGAAACAGCAAGUCACAUGCCAGCUACAGCCAAUAUAAGGUCACAGUGGAACAACCUUUAUCAGAACUACGUACGAACCCUUUCUGAUGCAAAAUAUACCUACAUUCAGAUCAUAAAGAUUUUUUCAGAACAAGGACUUAGAAUUUUGAAGACAGGGAUAUUUCUUAUUCUUAAUGGCAUUGGAAAACAUAGGAAUAUAGAACAAUUUAGGGAACCGGUAUCAUCCAGAAAAAGAGCUGCAACAAAUCAUACAGCAGCCCUGGUAAGCAAAGUGAAAGGUCUUGUAACAGGUGAGAAUCCACAAAUGCAAAGAUAGUAGCAAACUCUGUGUGCUCCAGGCAACAGUACACAACAUAAUCAAGAAGGAUCUCCAUCUGGAAAGGUGACAAAAAUAAUGUGUACACAACUUGUUUCCAUAACAAAUCCAUUUAACCAUUGCAUACCUCAAGCAGCUGGAAAGUGAAAUGGGAAUUCAUGCUAUUCCAUAUGAAGACAUACUUAUCCAGUCUCCAGAAACAUGGUGCCUAUGGAUUUCUUUGUGGUCAGACUGUUGAAAUAAAUACUUGGAAACCAGGGAGGAGUUGUGCUUUGGACAUGACAUCCUUACGAUGGAACAUUUUGCAAGAUUAUUGUUAAGAUCCAUGGUUACCAGAACAUGAUUGGUCAUGGCAAGGCUUUAAAAUUGUUUUAACAUAUCAUAAUAACCUCUGUAGAUGAUUUGAAAAGUUAGACAUGGCAUGGAUAAAUUGAACAUCUUCGGGUUUCACUGUUCGUAUCUACAUUUAAUUUUGUUCCAUACGAAAGAAUGACAAUUGUGUAUUUUUAUUAUUAUUUUUUGUAAUCUUGUUCUACAAAAGAAAAUCAACCAUACUAGUAUAUUUUACUUAAGUUGGCAAUAUUAUGAUAUUUAAUUUAAGAAGGAUGAACUUAAACAGUUGCAAAUCUUUUUUUUUUUUAAAUAUCCCUCUUUCUAGAUUUCAGUAGCUUUGAGUAAAGAUGUGUCUUGUUGAAAUUUUAUUGUUUUAGGUUUUAGUAAUAUGUGACUAAAAUAAAAUGGUUAGCAGUAUUCUUUCAUGUGUACAUGUGUAAUAUUUAUAAUGUAUUUACAUUCUAACAAACUGUUAUCUCUUGAUUUGCCAGCAUUGGAAUCUGUUUAUGUAAAUAAAAUCAAACAUACCUUUAUAA